rnacentral:rRNA from 1 species
CCUACGGGAGGCAGCAGUGGGGAAUAUUGCACAAUGGGGGAAACCCUGAUGCAGCGACGCCGCGUGAGUGAAGAAGUAAUUCGUUAUGUAAAGCUCUAUCAGCAGGGAAGAAAAUGACGGUACCUGAGUAAGAAGCCCCGGCUAACUACGUGCCAGCAGCCGCGGUAAUACGUAGGGGGCAAGCGUUAUCCGGAUUUACUGGGUGUAAAGGGAGCGUAGACGGCAGUGCAAGUCUGGAGUGAAAGGCGGGGGCUCAACCCCCGGACUGCUCUGGAAACUGUACGGCUGGAGUGCAGGAGAGGUAAGUGGAAUUCCUAGUGUAGCGGUGGAAUGCGUAGAUAUUAGGAGGAACACCAGUGGCGAAGGCGGCUUACUGGACUGUAACUGACGUUGAGGCUCGAAAGCGUGGGGAGCAAACAGGAUUAGAUACCCGGGUAGUC